rnacentral:lncRNA from 13 species
UUCUACUAUAGCAGUUUGAUUUGAUUAAUAAUUGCUUACUGUAUUUUUUUGAUUAACCUAUUUUGAGACUUAUUGUAUGUGUUUGUCUUAUAAUUAUUUUUUAAAGCAGCAUAUAGUUUUCCUAUUAUCCAAAAUGUAAAACUCUCUAUAAAUGAUUUAUUUUUGCCUAUUUUCUCUCAUUGUAAUUAUUGAUACAUUUUGACUCAUCUACAGUAUCAUAAGGUGUGUUUUCUCUUAACCAGGAUAUUAAUUUUGACAUUGUUGCUGCUUCUCCCUGCAAUGCCCCUUAUCAUGGUGCCCUUCCCUGAAAAAUUAUACUUUUAAUUUCACCAGUGUUAUUCUUGCCGCAUGAUUUGAUUUUCCCAAUGAUAUCUGAGUGAAAGUAACACCGGUUAUCCUUUAGCAGAAGCACUGCAGGCCAGUAUGUGGUUUGCUAUUAUCUCUUCCUGGCCAGGCACAGCGGCUCACAGUGGUUAUCCCAGCAUGAUAGGGAGGCUGAAGCAGGAGGAUUGCUUAAGGCCACAAGUUUGAGACCAGCCUGGGUAAUGAGCAACAUAGCAAGACCCUGUGAAUAUUUUAAAAAAUAUAUAAGGUCUGAGAUGGGAAUAAAAUAUCUGCAUUUCAGAGCAAUUGGAGAAGAGUGCCUGGAACAGUCAUUGGUGGGGUUGCUCAGUUUUACCAGAAAAAUUAAAUGAUGCAUUUAAAAAUUUUGUUUUUACUGUUAUCCUUUAUUCCCAUUCUCCCACUUGCUCCCCAAAGUGGAUUUCUGAUGGAUAGGGAAAGAAGAGUAGCUUCUGUUUGCAUAAUGUGCUAGUUUUAGUUCAACAUUGAUAUAAGCUGGAUCUUGACACAGAACAUCCUGGUUUCAAUGUCAUUUUUUCAUGGAUAUUUAUGAAUUCUCAUUGAAGUUGUUGUCUUCAAUUUUCUCAAGCCUAAAAUAGAGAGUAUCAAUCUUAGCUUGCCUGGCUCUUAAAUUGCUCAACUGAGGAAGUAUAUAUAUAUAAAAUGUUUGACACAGUAUAAGUGUUCAAUGGAUAUUUGUUAAAAAAUAGUUAGCUGUCAGACAAAGUUAAUAUCUGUGUUUCUCAUUGCUUCAUUACUCUAAAUUUUUGUGUAAUUUGCAGAGUGCUGACCUGUAGUAAACAAACAGAGUUCAAUAUAAUGGAAACGUUAUUAAACUUGUGCUUGAGUUGUUCUAGCCUUUAGAGAUUCUUCUGCCAUUGUUACCAAUGUUUCUCCAGGCAAAUCCCUCAAUUCCUAAUUCUUAAUUUUCUCAUCUGUUGAUCAAGGAAAUUAUAUUUGUUUCUAUGAUCUCACAUAAAGCAAAGAUUUUACACUCAUAUUUUUAAAGUAUAUAUUCUGUAUAACUCCAGAACUGACAAAGGCAGCCAAUAUUUAAUAUAUUAUGACAAUAGAAAACAAAGAAAAUAUAGUAAUAAAUGUACCAAAAUAAAACUUAUACA